rnacentral:misc_RNA from 1 species
UAUUGAUCCUAUCUAAUUAUUCAUUAAUAUUUAGUUUUGACUAUCAGCUUCUGUGCAGUAAGGCUUUCUUACUUCUGUAAAAUGAAAAUAUAGACUCUGUGCAGAUUCUAUUAUCAUUAUUAUUUGCCAAUAGUUUGACAAGCAAAUUUUUUUUCCUUAUGUUUUCUAAUAAAAAAUACAUAAUCAAUUUGAAAGUAAAAUCAUUUAUCAUAGCCAUUUUCUUUCAAAUUUCUUCUCCUUCCUAGAAGGUUUACUGGGUUUAAUAAAAGGCAAUCCUUCUAAUGAACACGAAGAAAACAACGUUUCCCUCCUUAUUUUUUAGAACUAUAUAAGAUCUAUUUAGCAUUCUUUACUUAUAUUCCUCUUCCUUAAUAGAAUAUUAUUCCUUUAUUUGAAUUAUACAAAAAAAAAUUAACAUACGUUCAUUUCUGGACACUGUCAUGUAUUCUUUCGUUGUGAUUUCAUUUUGUUUUCCAGAGAGGCAUGUGAAUGAUAUAUCCCAACUCGUUAGUUUAACAACUUACUGUGCAAAGAAGCCAUAAGCACCUUCUUCUUAUCAUAACAUUUUAAUUAGGUUGUCAAAUGUUUUG